UACGGAAGGCAGCAGUGGGGAAUAUUGCACAAUGGGCGAAAGCCUGAUGCAGCUAUGCCGCGUGUAUGAAGAAGGCCUUAGGGUUGUAAAGUACUUUCAUCGGGGAGGAAAAAACAAAACUAAUAAUUUUAUUUCUUGACGUUACCCGAAAAAGAAGCACCGGCUAACUCCGUGCCAGCAGCCGCGGUAAUACGGAGGGUGCUAGCGUUAAUCAGAAUUACUGGGCGUAAAGAGCACGUAGGUGGUUUUUUUAAAGUCAGAUGUGAAAUCCCUGGGCUUAACCUAAGAACUGCAUUUUGAAACUGAAAUACUAGAGUAUCGUAGAGGGAGGUAGAAUUCUAGGUGUAGCGGUGAAAUGCGUAGAUAUCUGGAGGAAUACCUGUGGCGAAAGCGGCCUCCUAAACGAAUACUGACACUGAGGUGCGAAAGCGUGGGGAGCAAACAGGGAUUAGAUACC
rnacentral:rRNA from 1 species